UGGCAUGAUGGGCAUUGUAUGCUCAGAGUCCUGACUCCCAGGAAGUCUCUCCAAGGAGGAAUUCUCAAGGUUCCUGCACUACAAGCUGGGGACGCUUGUCUCUAAGAGACAUAAAUAAUCACAACGGCCAGAAAAUAAAGCAGGCAAUCUCUCAGAACGCCUGGAUACAUUAGGAUGAAAAACAGCCGAAGGCUCCGAGUCUUCAGACUCCAUUGAAUACUGUUUGCAGCCAUCCGCCUCCAUAGUGAAUGCUUCAGACAAAUGGAAGGAGACAACAGAAAACCAGCACACCUGGAACAAUUGCCCAGCUGCAGCAGCAGGAAGUAGAUAUGCAAAAUCUGAGAGAAUCGGUCACUGCUGUACCUGUCCUAGAGAAGUUCUCAGACUGAAAUGAACAUACAACAGACACAUUCAAAUGAAGAUACGGAACACCAAUAAAGGUAUUUAUACAGAAAGGAAGACAUCUGCUGAGAUCAAGCUGUGACCUGCUCGACGUUACUAGAUUGUGGUGAAGAAAAUCCAGACCUCAGCAACAUUGUUAACGUGGCUGCUGUAAUUGAAGGCUUUUGUGGUGGUCUUGUGGAGCAAAUAAGAAAGUUUCGUGGGAACAGCACAUUCCUUCAUAGGUGCCUGGAGUGUUUAAAAGAAUGUUUCUUUUAUGUAGCUUGAUGUGGAUAUAGUCUAAAAAUAUGCAGCCACUUUCUCCAAGCUACCACAGAGCAGGGAUUUAGAAAUGAUUCAUUCUCUCUCUCUCUCUCUCUCUCUCUCUCUCUCUCUCUCUCU